UGACUUGAGUUUAGACGUGUGCUCUUGGUUUUGGGGUGGAUUCCCGUGAUUCAUCGCUUACAUACAACACCCUGCGCUCCUCCCAACGAGUGCCCUUAUCAAUGCCCAUCACCCAUUUUCUCCUCUUCCCCACCCCACCCUCCACCAACCCUCAGAUUGGUCUCUGUAUUUAAGAGUCUCUUAUGGUUUGCCUCCCUCCC